CUAACUCAAAACCACGUAUUCAAAUUUUGAAAUCGUUGGGUUUCCGUGUUUUUUUUUCUUACAAAAAUUGAAAUAUCUUUUACAUUAAUUAAUACAUCAACGAGAGGACACGUGUCCCAGUCUCCCACUCCAGCCUAUAAAUGUUGUAUUGCCACACCUAACUUUCAAAAUAUCACAAGCAAACCUAUAGAGCCUUCUGGAAUCAAAAUCACACACACAAAUACACACAGUAACUGAAUUCAAAGAGAAGAAGAUGCCGUCUGAAGGUACUCUUAACUGCAUCGACAUCAUCCUCGCCAUCAUCCUUCCUCCUCUCGGUGUUUUCUUCAAGUUCGGUUGUCAUGUGGAGUUUUGGAUAUGCGUGUUGCUGACGCUGUUCGGAUGGAUUCCUGGAGUGAUUUACGCGAUUUAUGCCAUCACAAAGUGAUCAUGACCGGAUCGGAUCGGAGUUUGUGUAUCUGUUUAUCUGUUUUUCGUAGUUUGUUGAUUUUAUGUUUUGAUUUCAGUCGUUCGCUAUGAAUAUUGAAUAGAAUUGUGGUUGUGAUUAAACGUUUGAUUUGAGGUAAAAUUGAGUGAAUUGUUUGUUGUUAUGGA